rnacentral:rRNA from 1 species
UACGUAGGGUGCGAGCGUUGUCCGGAAUUAUUAGGCGUAAAGGGCUCGUAGGCGGUUUGUCGCGUCGGGAGUGAAAACCAUGGGCUUAACUCAUGGCUUGCUUCCGAUACGGGCAGACUAGAGGUAUGCAGGGGAGAACGGAAUUCCUGGUGUAGCGGUGAAAUGCGCAGAUAUCAGGAGGAACACCGGUGGCGAAGGCGGUUCUCUGGGCAUUACCUGACGCUGAGGAGCGAAAGUGUGGGGAGCGAACAGG